rnacentral:miRNA from 1 species
GAAAGAAGAACAAGAAGAAGAAGAAGAAGGAGCCGUCGCUCGCACCCAGCAGGCAGCUAGCAAAUUAUUCAAAGAAAGAAGAGAAGAGAAACCUUGAGCUGCCUGCGAAGAAGAAAGAAACCUUAAGCUGCCUGCUGGGUGCGAGCGACGGCUCCUUCUUCUUCUUCUUCUUCUUCUUCUUCU